rnacentral:rRNA from 1 species
UACAGAGGGGGCAAGCGUUGUUCGGAAUUACUGGGCGUAAAGGGCGCGUAGGCGGCCUUCUAAGUCGAACGUGAAAUCCCCGGGCUCAACCCGGGAACUGCGUCCGAUACUGGAAGGCUUGAAUCCGGGAGAGGGAUGCGGAAUUCCAGGUGUAGCGGUGAAAUGCGUAGAUAUCUGGAGGAACACCGGUGGCGAAGGCGGCUCACUGGCCCGGUACUGACGCUGAGGUGCGAAAGCGUGGGGAGCAAACAGG